GACGAACGCUGGCGGCGUGCUUAACACAUGCAAGUCGAACGAAGAGCGACGGAAGCUUGCUUCUAUCAAUCUUAGUGGAUAACGGGUGAGUAAAGCGUAAUCAACCUGCCCUUCAGAGGGGGACAACAGUCGGAAACGACUGCUAAUACCGCAUACGAUCUACUCUCGGCAUCGAGGACGUAUGACAGCUGGCCUCUACAUGUAGAUAUCACUGAAGGUGGGGAUUGCGGCUGAUCAGCUAGUUGGUGGGGUAACGGCCCACCAAGGCGAUGACCAGUAGCCGGUCUUAGAGGAUGAACGGCCACAUUGGGACUGAGACACGGCCCAGACUCCUACGGGAGGCAGCAGUGGGGGAUCUUCCGCAAUGGACGAAAGGCUGACGGAGCAACGCCGCGGGAGGGAUGACGGCCUUCGGGUUGUAAAGCUCGGUUAGUCGGGACGAAAGGCCUUCUUGCGAAUAGUGAGAAGGAUUGACGGUACCGGAAUAGAAAGCCACGGCUAACUACGUG
rnacentral:rRNA from 1 species